rnacentral:rRNA from 1 species
CUUGCACUCUGCCGGCGCACCGGCGCACGGGUGCGGAACGCGUAUGGAAUCUACCUCUAUCUGGGGGAUACCCCAUGGAAACGUGGAAUAAUACCCCAUAGUAUCACUUAAUCGCAUGAUUGAGUGAUUAAAGAAUUUCGGAUAGAGAUGACCAUGCGUAUCAUUAGCUAGUAGGUGAGGUAACGGCUCACCUAGGCAACGAUGAUUAGGGGUCCUGAGAGGGAGAUCCCCCACACUGGUACUGAGACACGGACCAGACUCCUACGGGAGGCAGCAGUGAGGAAUAUUGGACAAUGGUCGAAAGACUGAUCCAGCCAUGCCGCGUGCAGGAUGAAUGCCCUAUGGGUUGUAAACUGCUUUUAUACGGGAAGAACACCACCUACGUGUAGGUGACUGACGGUACCGUAAGAAUAAGGACCGGCUAACUCCGUGCCAGCAGCCGCGGUAAUACGGAGGGUCCAAGCGUUAUCCGGAAUCAUUGGGUUUAAAGGGUCCGUAGGCGGGCUAUUAAGUCAGGGGUGAAAGUUUGCAGCUCAACUGUAAAAUUGCCUUUGAUACUGAUAGUCUUGAAUUGUAGUGAAGUGGUUAGAAUAUGUGGUGUAGCGGUGAAAUGCAUAGAUAUCACAUAGAAUACCGAUUGCGAAGGCAGAUCACUAACUAUAUAUUGACGCUGAGGGACGAAAGCGUGGGGAGCGAACGG